GACGAACGCUGGCGGCGCGCCUAACACAUGCAAGUCGAACGAGCGAGAGAGAGCUUGCUUUCUCGAGCGAGUGGCGAACGGGUGAGUAACGCGUGAGGAACCUGCCUCAAAGAGGGGGACAACAGUUGGAAACGACUGCUAAUACCGCAUAAGCCCACGACCCGGCAUCGGGUAGAGGGAAAAGGAGCAAUCCGCUUUGAGAUGGCCUCGCGUCCGAUUAGCUAGUUGGUGAGGUAACGGCCCACCAAGGCGACGAUCGGUAGCCGGACUGAGAGGUUGAACGGCCACAUUGGGACUGAGACACGGCCCAGACUCCUACGGGAGGCAGCAGUGGGGAAUAUUGCACAAUGGGGGAAACCCUGAUGCAGCGACGCCGCGUGGAGGAAGAAGGUCUUCGGAUUGUAAACUCCUGUUGUGGAGGAAGAUAAUGACGGUACUCAACAAGGAAGUGACGGCUAACUACGUG
rnacentral:rRNA from 1 species